UGUGGUGGAGCUCUUGCCUUGAAUGCAUGAGGUCCUGGGUUCGGUCCCCAGCACCACAU
rnacentral:tRNA from 1 species